UGCAUAUAAAUGGAUAAUUGAGGUUGGAGCACUUUAAGAUCUAUGCUAGUAAAUAAAUAGCAAAUGAUGAGGCUCUUUAAGAUCUAUGCAGAUAAAUGAAGAAUAGAGCGCUUUGAGGUUUGGUAGGUAGGUAAAUGAUAAAGAACAAUCGUUCUAAAGUAAAGAUAUUUUUAUCUUUUUCUUAUUCUGUUAAUAGUAUUAGGAUCCAAAUAGACAACUGGACCAUUUUGUAAUAAAUUUGAAGUUUUGGGA
rnacentral:lncRNA from 1 species